UACGGAGGGAGCUGGCGUUGUUCGGAAUUACUGGGCGUAAAGCGCACGUAGGCGGCUUUGUAAGUUAGAGGUGAAAGCCCGGGGCUCAACUCCGGAACUGCCUUUAAGACUGCAUCGCUUGAAUCCAGGAGAGGUGAGUGGAAUCCCGAGUGUAGAGGUGAAAUUCGUAGAUAUUCGGAAGAACACCAGUGGCGAAGGCGGCUCACUGGACUGGUAUUGACGCUGAGGUGCGAAAGCGUGGGGAGCAAACAGG
rnacentral:rRNA from 1 species